GACAGAGGGUGCAAACGUUGCUCGGAUUUACUGGGCGUAAAGCGCAAGUAGGCGGUCUUGUAAGUCGGGUGUGAAAACCCAGGGCUCAACCCUGGCAGUGCACACGAUACUGCGAGACUGGGGUACUGAAGAGGAGAGCGGAAUUCUCGGUGUAGAGGUGAAAUUCGUAGAUAUCGGGAGGAACACCAGUGGCGAAGGCGGCUCUCUGGGCAGAUACCGACGCUGAGAUGCGAAAGCGUGGGGAGCGAACAGG
rnacentral:rRNA from 1 species